rnacentral:rRNA from 1 species
AGAGUUUGAUCAUGGCUCAGAACGAACGCUGGCGGCGUGCCUAACACAUGCAAGUCGAGCGCGAACGGAGCGAUCCUAGUAGAGCGGCGCACGGGUGCGUAACACGUGGAUAAUCUGCCUCAGAGUUCGGGAUAACCUUCCGAAAGGUUGGCUAAUACCGAGUAAGCUCACAGGAUGUCCGCAUCUGGUGAGAAAAGGUGGCCUCUAUUUAUAUGCUAUCUCUCUGAGAUGAGUCCGCGGCCCAUCAGCUUGUUGGCGGGGUAAAAGCCCACCAAGGCUACGAAGGGUAGCUGGUCUGAGAGGACGAUCAGCCACACUGGAGCUGAGAGACGGUCCAGACUCCUACGGGAGGCAGCAGUGGGGAAUUUUGCACAAUGGGCGAAAGCCUGAUGCAGCAACGCCGCGUGUGUGAUGAAGGUCUUCGGAUCGUAAAGCACUUUCGACCGGGAAGAAUAAGCUGUCCCCAACACGGACGGCCCUGACGGUACCGGGAGAAGAAGCACCGGCUAACUCUGUGCCAGCAGCCGCGGUAAUAC